rnacentral:rRNA from 1 species
CGCGGCCUAUCAGCUUGUUGGUGAGGUUACGGCUCACCAAGGCGACGACGGGUAGCCGGCCUGAGAGGGUGACCGGCCACACUGGGACUGAGAUACGGCCCAGACUCCUACGGAAGGCAGCAGUGGGGAAUAUUGCACAAUGGGCGCAAGCCUGAUGCAGCGACGCCGCGUGAGGGAUGACGGCCUUCGGGUUGUAAACCUCUUUCGCCAGGGACGAAGCGCAAGUGACGGUACCUGGAGAAGAAGGACCGGCCAACUACGUGCCAGCAGCCGCGGUAAUACGUAGGGCCCGAGCGUUGUCCGGAAUUACUGGGCGUAAAGAGCUCGUAGGUGGUUUGUCGCGUUGUUCGUGAAAACUCACAGCUCAACUGUGGGCGUGCGGGCGAUACGGGCAGACUGGAGUACUGCAGGGGAGACUGGAAUUCCUGGUGUAGCGGUGGAAUGCGCAGAUAUCAGGAGGAACACCGGUGGCGAAGGCGGGUCUCUGGGCAGUAACUGACGCUGAGGAGCGAAAGCGUGGGGAGCGAACAGGAUUAGAUACCCUGGUAGUCCACGCCGUAAACGGUGGGUACUAGGUGUGGGUUUCCUUCCUUGGGAUCCGUGCCGUAGCUAACGCAUUAAGUACCCCGCCUGGGGAGUACGG